rnacentral:rRNA from 1 species
CAGAGACUGCAAGCGUUAUUCGGAUUCACUGGGCGUAAGGUGCGCAGGCGGCCGUGUGUGUGAGGCGUGAAAGCCCGAUGCUUAACAUCGGAAUUGCACCUCAAACUACAUGGCUAGAGCAUUGGAGAGGGUAGCAGAAUUCACGGUGUAGCAGUGAAAUGCGUAGAUAUCGUGAGGAUACCAGAGGCGAAGGCGGCUACCUGGACAAUUGCUGACGCUCAGGCACGAAAGCGUGGGGAGCAAAAGGGAUU